CCCGUGUUUAUCUUCCUUUAGCAAAGAUUCUAAGCAUUCCCACGUACUCACAUACCUAACGUGUACCAUUCUUCUUCUUAUAAGCAUACUGUUGUUCACAGGCGGCUUCUUAAUUAUUUCAUUCUAUAUUCAAAAUCUAUAAACAAAAGUAGUUAACAUGUCACUGCGGUAUAAUUAAUGGAUAAGCUUUUGAAUGAUUGAAGAGCAAGUUUUG
rnacentral:lncRNA from 1 species